CCAAUACGACAUCUAUUGUAUUGGCUGUGUGGGCCAGUGUGUCUCAGGCCCGGUGCCAAAAAACAAAGAAGAAGAAGUUACCUGUCACUCGUCACUUGUCAGUUCGUCGCCCGUCUGCCGCCUGUCGACCUAUCAAUUUGGAAGAUUAAUUAUAAAACAUAGAACUACAUAUGCGUGCACAUCAGUGACUGCUUCUCAGCUGUACCGAGUUGUGUCGUAUUUAUUGCUAGAAUGGGACCGCCACCCGUUGUCACUGGAAUAUCACCCAAAGAAGGCCCACCCGGCACUCGAGUGAUAAUGCGCGGAGAAUUUUUAGGGAAUAAAGCUCAGGACCUUAUAGGACUAACGAUAUGCGGAUGCGACUGUCUGCUUUCGGCCGAAUGGAAGUCGUCGAACAAAAUUAUAGCGAGGUCAGGACCUUGCAAAGGUCGCGGCGAUAUAAUAGUGACAACACGAAGCGGAGGGCAGGGAACUUCGACAGUGCAGUUUCGUGGUUACCACGAAACUAUAGGCCCUAUGAAGGAGUCAGCUGUAUGGGUAGAAGAAGCUCCUAUGCAGAGUUUAGGCUGGGGUAGAAGGGCAUUGUCGCCUACAAACUAUCAACAGGAAGACCCUUUGGGACUUAGUGUAGAGGCAAAUGAUAAAAAGUUUCCCGAGGAUGAGUUGAUCGAACUUUUUGGGGAUGGAAGUGGAGAUCUUACGAAUGAAAAGUUUCAUCCAGGAUGGUUUUUAUUGCAACAUCAUCAUGCUACAACUUUGGAAGAUUUAAAAGCUGGUUUGGCUUACCUUAGAAGAAAAGUCAAUUCCCAAAAGGAAGGACAGUUGUCAUUUUUGAAGGCCAAUGUGGGGGCAGUAAUGGAGCAACUUGAUACAAUAAUGUCAUUAAAGGAUCAGUUUGAAGCAGACAUGAGGAGCUACGGCAGUGAUCCUACAGAGAAAUUGGAAAAAGCUAUCAGGCAGUCUAUGUCAGAGGCUAAUAAAUUAUUCGACGAUGUAUUAGCGAGGAGGGAUAGAGCUGACGCCACUCGUAACGCGCUAGCUGUUAUGCAACGUUAUAAAUUUCUCUUUUGUAUGCCAAUAAACAUUGAGAGAAAUAUCAAACGUGGCAACUAUGAUCUCGUAAUUAAUGACUAUGCCAGAGUUAAGAAUCUGUUUAAAAAUACAGAAGUGGAUGUCUUUAGAAAGGUAUUGGAAGAAAUUGAUAAUAGAAUUGGUAAUUUUAAAGUGCUGUUACGUAAAAGAUUAGAAGAGAUGUCAUUCAACUUAGAGGAGCGUAAGAAGAUUAUUAGAAAUCUUGUCAAUCUCGAUGCCGAAGGUGAUCCGGCAUGGGACGCAAUAGUUUCACAUGCAAAUUAUCUAGAAAAAUGUAUUGUCAAUGUUGUACCUGAGCAUCUAGAUGCAAUUAAUUGUGAGGAUGCAAACAAGAUGUCCAAGUCUACUUCGCUAAACAUUAAGCAUUUACGAUCGGAGAAAACUAAUGGUAAUAAUCUACCACCACAAAUCUCGUGUAUCGAAACAAUCUGCGAUAUCGUGGUCGAACAAUUGCCAGACCUAUGGAGAUUGGGACAGAGUUAUUUCACGGGACAGCUACAUGUAGCAGUAGAUGUGGAAAAGCAAGGUCAUUUUAAAAAUUUAGUUUUAUCCAGUAUGCAGCGUGCCAUGGAGACCAUGAAGAAUACAUGUAGUCACGAUGUAGAUGCGAAAUGGCUUUUACAUAUAUUACGUUGUGUCAGACAAAUGUACGCGUCUCUGAUACAUUUGGAUUUGCCUAGUGAAGCUCUCGAUAUUUUCGGGUCGUUUAUAUUGAAUUUAAGAAUACAGUGUUUGAUUGCUCUCUUCAAGCAAGGAGCAGAUAAUAUAAUAGCUCUGAAUCGAGAGGAAACGUGGCAGAUAGAAUAUUUGAACGAGGAUGGUGGUGUUACAAAACUGCCGUACUUGUUUGAGGAAAUAAUUGUGGAGAUAUCGAAGCACGCGCGUGAAACGGUAAUUGCUUGCGGCCCGAGAGAAGGGCUGCUGUUCAAUAAUCCGGCACACCAGAUUCUCUAUCAUAGUACCGUCAAGAUGUUAUUUACAUCGUUCACGCGGUGUUUACAACAAUUGGCAUUUAGCGGUUGCGAGGAAGCUAUGGAUAGCGAUGAAACAUCGGUUUCGCAAUUGAUCGGCUCGCCUUCUGGUUAUAAAAGCAAAACCAAUAAACAUAAAGGACCAACAUGGGAGCAAUGCCUCUUAAUCUCGUUAAGUAAUAUACGAUACACGUUAAAUAUCGUUUUACCAAGAAUCGAAAAUACCUUGAAAGCGCAAAGUUAUCCCGAGUUAUCCACCGCGGUCGGAUGGAAUUCCGAUUGGACGCAAUUGGAGACAUUGGAUAGCGCCGUUCUGGACGCGUACUUAGAACGCCGUUGCGAUCCGCUCGUCGGUACAAUAGAGCCUAGCAUGUAUUUAGGCGGUUUGGAGUGGGACUUUGAUACAGAGCCGACGCAUCUAAAGCCGUAUGCCCAAGAAAUACUGGCGAAUUUAAUCGCAGUGCACGCGGAGGUGCGCAGAGUCGCGCCAAUUCUAUUACAACGAAUUCUAUCUCACAUAAUAGAGACUAUAGCGGAAGAGCUCGCGCGACUCAUGUCGUGUGUUACGCAGUUUCGACCGGCCGGAAUUAUUCAAGCUCGGACAGAUAUAAUACUCUUGAGGAACGCCCUGCAAGCCUUCAGCACGACUAGAGCAAAAAGUUUCUUCGAGGAAGCUUUGGAUGCGAUACCUCAGCCUAUAAACAAGGAAGACCGUAUGCGAAUAGACGCUCUUUUAUCAAAGAUUACAACGUGCAUGCGACUGCAGCUAUCGUGUUUUGCCAAUGAGGGGACGGAGAAUAUUCGUUACUUGACGGCGGAUCCCGAACGUGUUACCACUGUAUAAUUUAUGAAGACUAAAGUAUCAUCCAAUGAUACAUUUGCUCUGAAAGAUUUCAAAUAAAGUCGUGCAAUAACGAGGAGUAUUACGAUACGGCAUAAUACGAUACUCCAAGAGUAUAAUAAUAAAUAACUGAUCAAAUUUAGACUCACUUUCGCACGAGUAACGAGUUGUGCUUGUUCAAGAGUUGCCCAAUUUCUUGGUGUGACAAAAAAAAAUGAGAUUUUCAUCAGGUAUGCAACUCUCUGCAACCAUCAAGACACCGAGAUGUUUGUAAGCUAAUCUCAAUAAGCCAUUUGGUAAACGAUGACAUGGGCGUCUUCAAAGACGUGAUAGUUUCCUGUACAUUAAGCGUUUUGCUCACAUAAUUCUUUUCGAGGGACGUUACUUGUGUCUGAAAACAGUGUAUGAAAUAUAUUAUAUAUAUAUA